rnacentral:rRNA from 1 species
UACGGAGACUACGAGCGUUACUCGGAUUCACUGGGCGUAAAGGGAGCGCAGGCGGGCUGGUGUGUUAUGUGUGAAAUGCCGGGGCUUAACUCCGGAGCUGCGCGUAAAACUAUCAGUCUUGAGACUUGGAGGGGUAAGCGGAAUUUCCGGUGUAGCGGUAAAAUGCGUAGAUAUCGGAAGGAACACCGAAGGCGAAGGCAGCUUACUGGACAAGGUCUGACGCUCAAGCUCGAAAGCGUGGGGAGCGAAA